UACGUAGGGUGCAAGCGUUAAUCGGAAUUACUGGGCGUAAAGCGUGCGCAGGCGGUUUUGUAAGUCUGUCGUGAAAUCCCCGGGCUCAACCUGGGAAUUGCGAUGGAGACUGCAAGGCUAGAAUCUGGCAGAGGGGGGUAGAAUUCCACGUGUAGCAGUGAAAUGCGUAGAGAUGUGGAGGAACACCGAUGGCAAAGGCAGCCCCCUGGGUCAAGAUUGACGCUCAUGCACGAAAGCGUGGGGAGCAAACAGG
rnacentral:rRNA from 1 species